AGUUCUCAGGCGAGAGCCGCGGCUGACAGGGUCUGGGACAGAAGGAAAGCCCUCCAGCCUCCAGGCCCUGCCUUCUGCCUGCACAUUCUGCCCUGAUUUCCGGAACCUGGAAGCCUAGGCAGGCAGUGGGGAACUCUGACUCGCCUGUGCUCUGGAGCUUGAUCCGAAAGCUUCCACAGUGAGGACUGCUCCGUGGGGGUAAGAGAGCACCAGGCACUGAGGCCUGGGAGUUCCACAGACCAACACCCCUGCUCCUGGCGGCUCCCACCCGGGACUUAGACCCUCAGGUCCCUAAUAUCCCGGAGGUGCUCUCAAUCAGAAAGGUCCUGCUCCGCUUCGCAGUGGAAUGGAACGGAUUUAGAAGCCUGCAGUAGGGGAGUGGGGAGUGGAGAGAGGGAGCCCAGAGUUACAGACGGCGGCGAGAGGAAGGAGGGGCGUCUUUAUUUUUUUAAGGCCCCAAAGAGUCUGAUGUUUACAAGACCAGAAAUGCCACGGCCGCGUCCUGGCAGAGAAAAGGCUGAAAUGGAGGACCGGCGCCUUCCUUAUAAGCUCGUUGGGGCCUAAGCCAGUACCGACCUGGUAGAAAAAGCAACCACGAAGCUAGAGAGAGAGCCAGAGGAGGGAAGAGAGCGCCAGACGAAGGUGAAAGCGAACCACGCAGAGAAAUGCAGGCAAGGGAGCAAGGCGGCAGUUCCCGGAACAAACGUGGCAGAGGGCAAGACGGGCACUCACAGACAGAGGAGUGAUUAUGCAGUGGGACCCUGCUGCAAACGGGACUUUGCACUCUAAAUAUAGACCCCAGCUUGGGACAAAAGUUGCAGUAGAAAAAUAGACAUAGGAGAACACUUAAAUAAGUGAUGCAUGUAGACACAGAAGGGGUAUUUAAAAGACAGAAAUAAUAGAAGUACAGAAGAACAGAAAAAAAAUCAGCAGAUGGAGAUUACCAUUCCCAAUGCCUGAACUUCCUCCUGCUAUUAAGAUUGCUAGAGAAUUGUGUCUUAAACAGUUCAUGAACCCAGAAGAAUGCAAUUUCAAUGUAUUUAGUACACACACAGUAUGUAUAUAAACACAACUCACAGAAUAUAUUUUCCAUACAUUGGGUAGGUAUGCACUUUGUGUAUAUAUAAUAAUGUAUUUUCCAUGCAGUUUUAAAAUGUAGAUAUAUUAAUAUCUGGAUGCAUUUUCUGUGCACUGGUUUUAUAUGCCUUAUGGAGUAUAUACUCACAUGUAGCUAAAUAGACUCAGGACUGCACAUUCCUUGUGUAGGUUGUGUGUGUGUGGUGGUUUUAUGCAUAAAUAAAGUUUUACAUGUGGUGAA
rnacentral:lncRNA from 1 species